rnacentral:rRNA from 1 species
GACGGAGGAUGCAAGCGUUAUCCGGAAUUAUUGGGCGUAAAGGGUGCGUAGGUGGUCAGACAAGUCCCAUGUCAAAUCAUGGUGCUUAACGCCAUAAAGGCGUGGGAAACUGUGUGACUAGAGUACAGCAGGGGCAGGAGGAAUUCCCGGUGUAGCGGUGAAAUGCGUAGAUAUCGGGAAGAACACCAGUGGCGCAAGCGUUCUGCUGGGCUGUAACUGACACUGAGGCACGAAAGCUAGGGGAGCGAAUAGG